GCGUUGGGAUGUCGAAAAGAGGUCGCCCAUACAAAAGUCAGCCGACGCAGUCCGAAGCAAGUAAGCAGCGUCGCGUUGAUUUUGAUGAAGCAGUAGAUGAUGUAAUUCUAAUUGUAUUAGCCCAGAAGCUUCGGCAUAGAUUAUCGGAGGACAAAGCAGAGACCAGUACAUCCCGUAAAGAGUGGAUAGGAUGUAUGGGGUGGAGAAGUAUGGGGAGUGAUCGUAUGGAUACUUUAUGGAUAUGAUGUUUUUUUGGGAUUGGAA